AUACGGAGGGUGCGAGCGUUAAUCGGAAUUACUGGGCGUAAAGGGUGCGUAGGCGGCUUGAUAAGUCGGAUGUGAAAGCCCCGGGCUUAACCUGGGAAUUGCAUUCGAUACUGUCAGGCUAGAGUAUGUCAGAGGUUGGAGGAAUUCCUGGUGUAGCGGUGAAAUGCGUAGAUAUCAGGAGGAACACCAGUGGCGAAGGCGGCUAACUGGGGCAAUACUGACGCUGAGGCACGAAAGCGUGGGGAGCAAACAGGAUUAGAAACCCUAGUAGUCC
rnacentral:rRNA from 1 species